CCAAUCGAACCCGGAGAUAGCUGGUUCUCCUCGAAAUAGCUUUAGGGCUAGCCUCAUGGAUCAUUGAUGGGGGUAGAGCACUGAAUGUGCGCGGGGGCCACAAAGCCUACCAAACGCUAUCAAACUUCGAAUACCAUACAAUGCAGACCAUGGGAGUCAGUCCGCGAGAGAUAAGUUCCGCGGGCAAAAGGGGAACACCCCAGAUCAACCGCUAAGGUCCCCAAGUUCACGUUAAGUGGAGAAGGAUGUGGAAUUGCACAGACAACCAGGAUGUUGGCUCAGAAGCAGCCACACAUUUAAAGAGUGCGUAAUAGCUCACUGGUCGAGUGAUUGUGCGCCGAAGAUGUCCGGGGCUAAACGUGACACCGAAGCGAUGGGUGCAUCUGAAAGGAUGCGCGGUAGAGGAGCAAUGUGCAGAGGCAGAAGCCGUAUCGAGAGGCACGGUGGACACUGCACAAGAGAGAAUGCCGGUAUGAGUAGCGAGAGGCAUGCGAGAAACAUGCCCGUCGAAAGCCCAAGGUUUCCUGGGGAAGGUUCAUCCGCCCAGGGUAAGUCGGGGCCUAAGCCGAGGACGGAAGUCGUAGGCGAUGGACAGCAGGUGUAGAUUCCUGCACUACCGAUGGAAUGAAGCAGUGACACAGAAGGAUAACUCGAGCAGGGUGAUGGUCAACCCUGUGCAAGCAUCAAGGUUGGGUUGUAGUGAAGUACGCAAUCCUAUAAGCUGAGGUGUGAUGCGGACCGAAAUUUCAGUAGGGAAGCGAGUGAGUUCACGCUGGCGAGAAAAGCUGCUAGUACAUCCAAAGGUACCCGUACCGGAAACCGACGCAGGUGGGCGAGGAGAGAAUCCUGAGACGAACGGGAGAACCCUUGUUAAGGAACUCGGCAAAAUGACCCCGUAACUUCGGGAUAAGGGGUGCCUGCGAGAGCAGGCCGCAGAGAAUAGUCACAAGCGACUGUUUAGCAAAAACACAGGUAUCUGCGAAAGCGAGAGCUGACGUAUAGGUGCUGACACCUGCCCGGUGCUGGAAGGUUAAGGGAACAUGUUAGAGCAAUCGAAGCAUCGAACCGAAGCCCCAGUAAACGGCGGCCGUAACUAUAACGGUCCUAAGGUAGCGAAAUUCCUUGUCGGGUAAGUUCCGACCCGCACGAAUGGUGUAACGACUUGUGAGCUGUCUCAACAGGGGGCCCGGUGAAAUUGAAGUAUGGGUGAAGAUGCCCAUUACCCGCGACUGGACGGAGAGACCCCGUAGAGCUUUACUGCAGCCUGAUAUUGAGUUUCGGUAACUGAUGCACAGGAUAGGUGGGAGUCUGAGAGACAUGGGUUUCGGCUCAUGUGGAGACGGUGUUGGGAUACCACUCUUCGGUUACUGAAAUUCUAACAUAGCUCUGUGAAACCAGAGGAUGGACAGUGUCAGGUGGACAGUUUGACUGGGGCGGUCGCCUCCGAAAGAGUAACGGAGGCGCCCAAAGGUACCCUCAGAAUGGAUGGAAACCAUUCGAAGAGCGCAAAGGCAGAAGGGUGCCUGACUGCGAGAGUGACAACUCGAGCAGAGACGAAAGUCGGGCUUAGUGAUCCGGCGGUAUUGAGUGGAAAAGCCGUCGCUUAACGGAUAAAAGCUACCUCGGGGAUAACAGGCUGAUCUCCCCCAAGAGUCCACAUCGACGGGGAGGUUUGGCAC
rnacentral:rRNA from 1 species